rnacentral:tRNA from 1 species
GCCUUCAUGGUGUAGUGGUCAGCACGCUCGGCGCGUAUUCGAGAGGUCCGUGGUUCGAAUCCUGGCGAGGACA